rnacentral:tRNA from 1 species
GUGGUCAUGGCUCAGUGGUAGAGUGCUUGCCUGGUACAUGCAAGACCCUGGGUUCAAUCCUCAGCACCAUA